rnacentral:rRNA from 11 species
GCAGCUGGUCUAAAUUCCCUAAAGGCAUGAGAUGUCAGCUGAUCUUCAAAGCUAAGAAGGGUCAGCUUUGGUUAGUACUUGAAUGGCAGACUGCCAAGGAAUACCAAGUGUUGUACGCU